GACGAACGCUGGCGGCGUGCCUAACACAUGCAAGUCGAGCGAGAGGCCUAUAACAGAUUCCUUCGGGAUGACGACUUAGGUCUUCUAGCGGCGGAUGGGUGAGUAACGCGUGAGAAACCUGCCUUUUACAAGGGAAUAGCCACGAGAAAUCGUGAAUAAUACCCUAUGAUACUUAAAAACAUAGUAGUUUUUUGGUUAAAGCGUAAAGCGGUAAAAGAUGGUCUCGCGUCCCAUUAGCUAGUUGGUGAGAUAAAAGCUCACCAAGGCUACGAUGGGUAGCCGGCCUGAGAGGGCGACCGGCCACACUGGAACUGAGACACGGUCCAGACUCCUACGGGAGGCAGCAGUGGGGAAUCUUGCACAAUGGAGGAAACUCUGAUGCAGCGACGCCGCGUGAAUGAUGAAGUUUUCGGAUCGUAAAAUUCUGUCCUUGGGGAAGAUAAUGACGGUACCUAAGGAGGAGCCCCGGCUAACUACGUGCCAGCCGCCGCGGUAAGACCUGAGACUACC
rnacentral:rRNA from 1 species